UUACACACAGGACACUGCUGCCGGCUGGGCCGUGUCUCCAACCACUGAGCGAGAGGGAAACACGUCAACAUCUUUAGUAUUGUGGAAACAAACUUUCUGAGUGGGCCUCCAUGAAAUCAAUUCUGCAACAGAUUUACUGUCAUGGUCUCUAAAACCUUAAAAUCCAUGAACCCCGAGGAAGACCAGGUGUAUGGUUGAAACAUGUUGGCUUGGCCAUUAAAAUAAAGGCCUUUUAACACCUUCUUGUGCAGCUCAUACUUCUGGAGUGCCUGGACUACAGUUGUUUCUGUGAUCUAGUAUACCUUUUUCCAAGAGCACCCUUAAUAUUUUUCUGCUUUAUUGAGAUAACCACGGCAACCAGUCUUUUUCCUCAUCCAUCUUCCACCUCUGAGCUUUCUGCCCCAUGUAACUUUGUGUCAACGUAAUUUACACUUUGUAUAAAAGUGAUUAAAGUUUUCCAGGAUUUACUUUAUUUGGAGAGCACCCAAAAUACACGAAAGUGUCGGCUGGUUCACCACUUUUUUCUGCAUUUUAUAACAAUCUAUUUGAUUAUCAACGAUUUUUUUUAAAAAGAUGACAAGUUGAUUUUAUUAUAAACUGCAGAUGUCUAGAACAGCUGCUCUCAAACUGUGGUCUGUGAGUGACCCCUAAUGGUCCAUUAGCAUAGUGGUAAAAUGACAUUUAAAAAUAAUCAUUUUCAAACUUAAGUGUUCUUCAAACUGUUUAAAGGAGACCCCAAAGGCUAAUAAACUGUAAAAUGUUGUAACAUACUGGUAUGGUCGUACUAUUGUUUUUGGACAUUUGGGGAGUUUGGUGGCCUGUAAGAUUAUUUAUUGAUUUAUUUACUGGUUAAGUGGCCUUUGGUCU